rnacentral:misc_RNA from 1 species
AAGUCGCAACAAGGUUUCCGUAGGUGAACCUGCGGAAGGAUCAUUAACACGUAUCCCACGUUAAACCCCCCCGUGAAUAUUAAUCGUGCUCUUACAUCGUUGCACAACAGCAAUUCUCUGGUAAAUCAUGUCGAACGGUUUGAUUCAGAGACCUCUGGCUUGUGCGAUGACGGCGGAAGCUAAAGGUGUAAUCGAGCGCUAGGUGUAGUGGUUUGGUCUUCCCCUCAAACCACUUCAAUGAAUGUCAGGGUCAUUGAAGUGUGAUGGGGAACUCGCUUAACGACGCUGUAGGCCCAAGCCCCCUAAAACCACAUGUCAGCGUAGGCCCUUCUGUCGUGGUUGGGCGUAAAAACGAACAACUGUCAACAAUGGAUAUCUUGGUUCUC